rnacentral:rRNA from 1 species
UACAGAGGUCUCAAGCGUUGUUCGGAUUCAUUGGGCGUAAAGGGUGCGUAGGUGGCGCCGUAAGUCGGGUGUGAAAUUUCGAGGCUUAACCUCGAAACUGCAUUCGAUACUGCGGUGCUUGAGGACUGGAGAGGAGACUGGAAUUCAUGGUGUAGCAGUGAAAUGCGUAGAGAUCAUGAGGAAGACCAGUGGCGAAGGCGGGUCUCUGGACAGUUCCUGACACUGAGGCACGAAGGCCAGGGGAGCAAACGGGG